rnacentral:rRNA from 1 species
UACGGGGGGGGCAAGCGUUGUUCGGAAUUACUGGGCGUAAAGCGCGCGUAGGCGGCUUUGCAAGUCGGGUGUGAAAUCCCCAGGCUUAACCUGGGAACUGCAUUCGAGACUGCAUUGCUAGAGUAUGGGAGAGGGAAGUGGAAUUUCAGGUGUAGCGGUGAAAUGCGUAGAUAUCUGAAGGAACAUCAGUGGCGAAAGCGACUUCCUGGACCAAUACUGACGCUCAUGUGCGAAAGCGUGGGGAGCAAACAGG